rnacentral:pre_miRNA from 2 species
GCUCCAGUCGCCACCCUCAAGAGGGAAGCAACUUCCGUGCGCUCAGAGGGAAAGUGCUUCCUUUUUGAGUGUGUCUGCGGGAGA